rnacentral:rRNA from 1 species
CUUUACAACUUUUGGCAAUGGAUGUCUUGGGUCCCACAACGAUGAAGAACGCAGCGAAAUGCGAUACGUAAUGCGAAUUGCAGGACCUCGUGAAUC